UUUGGAAUGACUGAAGAUCAGUGCAGAAUUCAGUAAUCCUGUGGAUGGACCGAAGCAAUUCCUUUUGCAGUUUAAUCCAUCAAAAUGCUUUGCAGACAUAAUGGAGAUGACAUUCACAUUGUAGAGCUUGGACAAAGUUCACACAGGCUCGGCGCAGGAACUCAUCAAGGACAUGACUGUUGGGAUCACGCUUGUGGAUGACCAAACUGAGCACCAUCAGUCUGCAGUGAUGUGGUCCAGCCAUCCGGUGACAUUAAGGAUGUUGAGAAAGAAAUUGAAGAGGGCAUUCUGAUUGUAACUGAGGAGCAGCAAUGUGAUGUACUUCCCAAGGAAUAACCAACAUUGGUCUCAUUUGGACAUCCUUUCAUCAUUGACACCUCCCAUGUCCCCAAGGCAUUUGGACCCCUAAUGGGUCUGUAUGCAGUGAACAUCCACGACCUCAUGAAAUACACCAUCGAGGCUCUGCAAAAACUUGUGAAGAUCAGCUGCUCCCACCAUGUGCUCGUUACAGCGACAGUAACUGUAGGUGUGGGGGAGUGAAUGUACAGUGC